CGGGAGGCGGAGGGAGCGCGCGGGGUGGGUGCGGGUGACACUCCCGGCGGCGGCGGGCGGGGGGCCCCGGCGCCUGUAGCUCUAACAAAGAAGACUUGCGGCCCGCUCCUCCCCCACCGCGACACCCGGGGGGUCCCCAAGCCUGGCGGGAAAGGAGGGAGGGGGCGCCACCCUCAUUCCCGAGGGGAAGCCUGGCCAGCCGGUGGGGACAGCAGCCUCCGUCAGCCCCGGCGGCUUGGCCCCACCCGCCGCCUCCUGGGAGCCGAUCGGGAAAAGCCCUGGGGGGUCAGAAAGAACCUGGUGCUCAGGGGCCCUGGAGCUUCGUCCAGUUUUCAGAGCCCCAGGGUUUCCUUGGGGGAACUCGUGGGGGGUGAUGGUCUCCCGGUAAAGGUGUUCUGGGCCCCCAGGGUCCCGCUCAGAGUGUCAACGUCUCUGCUCUCCUCAGGGAGGGGAACUGGCCCAGCCCUGUCUUCCUCAGGCUGACUCUGGUCUGACCCAGUGACGUUGCUCUCACCUGUCACCCCAAAUGAGGCAGAGCCAAAGCCCCUAGAUGGAGUCCAGCUGUAGGGAGAAUGGAAAUCUGAUGACCUGAAAGAAUUUACUUGGUCAAGACAGCCCAGAACAGUGCUUGUGGAGACGGCAAGGUGGCUCUGUUGAGGCCCUGCUGGUGACCUUGCUCAGGGAUCUGCCUUCUCCGGGAUUCCAGCCUAUUUUUUUGCAGAGCCAGUGAGUUGGACCAGUCAUCCGGGAGAUCCAGGAUGACAUUGGGUGGGAGGUCAAGAAGAUCCUACAGCACUUCCUCCCCUUCGUCUGGGCUGGCUUGGGCUAAGGUCAUGGCUUUCCCUCAGCUCCAGGCUAUGUUGGAGUCUGCCAGGGCAUUGAACUGACUCUCCUGCCUUGAAGAAGCCGGGAACACGGGCCCCAGGAGGGUCUCAGUGCUGCCUAACAAAAGCUUUGACACUAUGACAUGUCUGUCUGUGUGCAGAAUGGCAUCUGCCAUGGCCUUGAACUGGGACACACGAUCCAGGAGGCUCAGGACCUGAAAGGUGUUGCCUGAGUCACUGCCUUUGCUGGACUUCCCCUCUGCCAUCUGUAAAAUGGGCAGGAGAGCAGCCUGCACCUCUGCUGGAGACGAGACACGGCCUUUCUGAAGAUGCCUCUGAGCCUUGUUUCCCCAUCUGGAAAUUCCAGCUAAUGCAGCAGUCUCGGCAGCUGUAGCAAAUAGAGCCUGACGAUGGCUAGUUGAAGCAGAAAAGCCUUUGCCAAAAGGAGGGCAGGCAGCUCUGGCCCAACGCGGCAGCAUUGGUCUGGUGUCAAAGCCACCACUGCCAUCCGUGGGCACAGCUGCUGCAGUUGGCACUGCCCAUGGGCAAGGACACCAGGCACUCCAUCCAGCAGGACCAUGGCUGCCUCUGAAGCCUCAGGUGCCGCUGCCGCUGCUUCUGUGUCCUCAUCAGUCUCCCGUGUGGCCUUGUCUUCCUUGUGCCAUUCAUUUCUAAAUCAUGGUCAAGCCUGUGCGUGUCUGAUCGGAGGCGCCCAGAGCAGGACGUCUGCCAAAGCUGCAAGGGAGGCUGGGAGAAGACGCUCUGUGAUCCUCUAGAAGGAGGUGGGCUCUGCCUUGUAGGAAGGGCAACUCAGGUGCUGGUGGCCAAAAGCCUGACAGUGUGCGCUUCCGACCACAGGGCACAUGUGAAGCCGCGAUGAGGCCACCGUGUGGGGAACACAGCAGCUCAGGUUGCUGAGAUUCACGGUGCUGCAGGUCUACAGUGUCCACGGUGGUGCUCCUCCAUAUUUCAAGUCUUUGAUUUUUCAGCAGGUGAAAGACGAAAGGACCUUGAAAGCAGUAUGGCUUGCUGCCCUUCCAGACGCAGAGGCAGCUCCGGUCCUGUUGCCAGGAGGACAGGUGACUGGGUUUUUCCAUUGUGGUGAUGAAUUGGGCUGAGUCACCAUUCCUCUCCAGUCCCCUCGUGACCAUGACUGGAGCAAGUAGAAAGUAAAGUAAAAGAACUAGCAGGUGGGGUCGGAGGCACAGAAGAGCCUGGGGCCAUGGAAGCUUGCUCUCUUGGCAGGGAGGGUGAGGCAGGAACCACCCCCACCCCCCACUCACACUCUCCACUCACUGUGAGCCAAAGGGCCUCAGGGGGAGAAGAGUGGAUCCUUUUUCUUCUUUUAUGGGGUUGGUUGAGUGCCUCUUUGGUGCCAAGACCUGUGCUGUAGAGUGCACUGGUGAACCAGAGCGGAUCAGGUUUAUGCACUGAUGGAGGAAACCAGCUUAGAGUCCCAUAAUCUGGUACUAGGCCAACUCUGCUAACAUGCGUGAUUGAGGUUAGCAUGCAGUAUGGUGGGGGCCUGCAGGAGUCAGCAGGAGCUUCCUGGAGGAAGAGGCAUCUGAGAGGUGGAAAGUCAGCGGAUGGAGAUGGGAAAAGGGAUGAUGGGGGAGACACCAUCCAUCCUUCCUCCAUUAGGUCAGCCAGGCCUUCCACAAAGCUCUGGGAGGCUCAGAGCUCAACCCUGUCAGGAGUUCCUGAAAGGAGGUCGAGAAUGCAGGGUGUGUGUGAGCAGAAGGUAAAGAACCAGGAAGUGGGUGAGAGUGAGUGUCCGGCCUCAGCCUGGAUCUGGAAUUUCAGCGGGCACCAGAUUACCUGCUCCCUGCUCCCUGCUCCUGGGACACCCUGGACCACGCACUGGCAAUGUUGCUGCCCCCUUUCUUCCCUGCAUGCAAAGACCCACUCCUGCAGGACCAGUUCUUGCUCUCCAGGUAACUCUGGACACCCUACCAUCUCCUCCCCCACCCCAGAGGGCAGCAGGACCCCUCCCCACCCCCCAUCCCCCACCGGAAGUCUCACCAGACACACAGAGCCCGAGUUUGUGCUACGUCAAGACAAAGGGUGGAUCUGGCAAUAUUAUUUAAAAAUUCUAAUAGUCCUAAUAGAAUUUAAGAAUUCCAAUUAAAAAUUCUAAUAAAACUUAUAAGAUGCAGAAGGAAAAUUAAAAUCUCUCAUAAUGCCAUUGUCUAAAGAUAACCAGUGUUAACAUGUUAAUAUCUUGGGGGUUGAUAUCCUUCAGCAGUUUUUGUGUGUGUGUGUGUGUGUGUGUGUGUGUGUGUGUGUUAUCCCCCAAAGAAUCAUACUGCCUGUAUUAUUUUUGCUGCUCUUUUUUCCCCUUGCCAGUAUAUCAUGAACAUUUACCCCGAUAAAAGUUAUUCUUCUACAACGUAAUCACAAUAGCUAUAUUAUCUUUACUGUGUGGGAGUGUCAUUAUCUCCUUGGCCAGUCUCAAUCACCAGGCAUUCAGGAUGUUAGCAAG